rnacentral:rRNA from 1 species
UACGGAGGAUGCGAGCGUUAUCCGGAUUUAUUGGGUUUAAAGGGUGCGCAGGCGGCACGGCAAGCCGGCGGUCAAGUCGCGGGGCUCAACCCCGCCCAGCCGUCGGAACUGCCGGGCUAGAGUGGGCGAGAAGUGCGCGGAAUGCGUGGUGUAGCGGUGAAAUGCAUAGAUAUCACGCAGAACUCCGAUUGCGAAGGCAGCGCACCGGCGCCCUACUGACGCUCAGGCACGAAAGCGUGGGUAUCGAACAGG